AGAACCCUAAAUAAGUUAAAUCUCAAAUUUAAAUUCCAUUUACUUAAGAUCAAACAUCCUCUUUUAAAGCACUCGGCACGAAGAUACAGAUAUGUUUAUAUAUUAAAUGCAGUUUAAAUAUGCAUUUACACUCUUAGUGGGUUACAGCUAAUCCUUCAACUUUUGUUUCUAACAAGAAAUGGAUUCCUAAAAGGAAAUGUUCUUUACCAGUGUCUGGAACAAUGAUGACCCAUUGCUCUCCCAAAAAUUCUCUGUUUUAUUCACAUGUAGAUAGGACUUGGUAUUUUAUCACCAAGUUCAUAACAAAGUCAACUCACUAUAGUGGAAGAGUAUUUAUAAAAUUAUACUUUUUUGAUAGAAACCAAAAACAGAGGUUGAUAUAAUAUCCUGUUGUCAGUGCAUAUCCAGCUUAGACAUUAUACAGAAGAACUAGGCAGUAUUGCCCUAAGACAUAAGUAUUUUAUGAUAUGGCCUAUUUAUUGAUUUAUUUAUUCAGUCAGUAAAGAUUCACUUACAUCAGGCAAAGUUCUACGCAUGCAGAAAAAGAUAUGUCUCUAACCCCAAAGACACUGUGUUUGGAGAGACAAGCAUGAAAAUAGACAAUCAUAGUUCAAUGCAAUGAGUGGAGUAAUCUGAAGUCUGUGCAACAUGCAGUGGGAUCCAGAGGGAAGAAGCAUCUAUAUUUGGCAGAAGGAGAAAAGGUAACACUUGAAUUCAAUCCUGAAGGAGAAACAAAGUUUUAUCAGGUAUUCCGGGUAGAGGAAAAAGGAUGUGCAAAGGCCCAGAGGCAGUGAAAAGCACGUUCUGUUCAGGGAAUCAUACCUGGAUUGCAUUGCUGGAGGAGAAACUGUGAGGAGAGUGUUGGGAGUAAAACUGAAGGGGUGCUAUGGGCAAAACAUUUUGAAGACCCUUGAAUGCCAGGCUAAGAAGUGUAGGUUUAUCUUGCAGCAGAUGGAAAGGCACUGAAAAAAUUCAAACAUAAUCAGAUGUGCAUUUUAGAAAGACCAUGCAGUCAGCAGAUUAGAGACUGGAUUAAAAGGGGACAAAUUAGUGACAAUGGGACUAUUUGGUGGUUGUUUUUACCUGCCCGCUUGGUGUAAGAGUGCUAAAGAGAACUACCUUUUAUUAAAUAGGUACAAAUCCUUAAACCCUGGCAAAAAGGAAGGCAUAAAGAUAUUUUCCAAGAGGCAUCUUUUUAAGGAAAAUGACUGCUCCCACUGAGUAAAUAUUGCAAAUUAAUUUUGUAUGUCCUGUGCAUUGCUCAUUGUUUUACUUUACUGUAGGACUGACAUCCACCUGAGCUGACAUUUCUGUCACUGCAUUGAAAGGCUGUGUAGUGUUGUAGAAAGUGUGCUACCACAGGUCAAGACACUUGCCUCUAAUUGAGCUUUAUAUCUUAGUCUUUGUAAGACCUUGGGGAAGUCAUUUUACCUCUUUGGGCUUCAUUUUCCUCAGUUGUAAAGCUGAGGGGCACAGUGUAAAUUAUUUGAAAUGCCACUUUAUUUUUAUCGUUACAUGAUUUGCAACUUUGCACUUGUUAAUCUCUCCUAACGUUUCUUUCUUACCUUGUCUUUAUGUUUUCUCACAAUUUUAAGAGGGACAGAAGUAUUUGGAGGAUAAUCCCAGGACAUUCUGUUUUUAUUGCACUAUACUUAAUGUACUUAGCCUUUUCCUGGAAGUAUUAGGAUGUUGGCAGCCGUUUUGAAACUAGGCAUUUCUAGUUGCAUGAGUCACAUUUUAUCUUCAUAUGCACAAAAAGAGGACUAUUUAAUCACUUUCAACAUCUAUUAGACCAAAUUAGUAACUAAUUUUUAAGUUAUAAGUUUUCCUCUCCAAAAUGAUUGUUUCUUGGGUCAGAAAAUGAUAUGUUCUUAGAAAGCUAGUGUAUGGAUAAAGUUGGCACUUAAAAUUAUAGGAAGUGCACUGCUUCUAGUAAUAUUCUAUUUUAAAUUCUGCAUUUCCUUGGAAACUUCGUGUUAUUUAAUGCUCUUUUUUUUCACUUAAGAGGCUGUUUACAUUGGUAAUAUAUCUUCUAGAGCUCUGGGAGUUCAUAGGGUUUGUACCUACAAAACAGCACAGCACUGUUACUGUGCUUCAGAGACAUGCAGGGGUCCCAGGGCAAAUCAAAAUGUUUUUAAAUGUAUGACAUGUGUGAAGUUGAUGAAAAUUCAUGACUUCUCUCUGUCAGGGCUGCUUAAGCUUAAAUCAUCAGAGAAAGGUUGUUUCUUCAGGAUCAGGCACAGAGACUGACUGAAUGGCUCCAAUGAUCAGGAUUUGAAAACCUAAUAUCAGAAUCUGCUGUUUUGUCCUGGCAUUGGGAUUGGUGACUCUGAUGGCCAGCUCAGCUGCUCUUUCCACAAUGGCUUUGCCGUUCUUGGAGGAGCCAUUGUGAGCAAUCUGUGCACACAGCUACUUGAAAUACUUUAUCAGUGAAAGUCUUGACGCAGCAAACAUACGUGUAAAAACGUGGAGCAGUUACCUACAGAGUCCAUUGUUCACCUGUUUAUCCUGGAUUUAGAACUAUUUCUUAUGUUUGCUGAUGUCUGAGAGGCUAUGGCUUACUCCAUUUAUACCCAGGUUGGUAUACACAUUCACUCGUUUCUUCAUUCAUUUACACAUGUAUUUAUUUAUUCACUUUGUUAUUUGUGGCAUACAGAUUCAUAUGUAGCCCUCAGUGAGCCCUGCUUUCUGGUGUUUACUCAUGUGUGUGGGCAGGACAUAUGACUUGCUUCUAACCGACAGAAUAUAGUAAAGGUGACGAAAUGUCCCCUCUGUGAUUGAUUACAUAAUAAAGACUCUGUCUAGUUGGAAGACUCAAUCUAGAGAGUGUCCUUGCUGGCUUGAUGAGAUAAGCAGCCAUGUUGGGGAAAACCCCAUGGUGAGAAACUGUGGACAGUUUCCAGACAACAGCCAGGAAGAAGCUGGGAUCCUUGAUCUUAGAGCUGCCAGGAAGUGAAUUCUGCCAAGAAUGUGAGUGAACUUGGAAGGUAUUUCUUCCCCAGUUGAGCCUCCAGAUGGGAACACAGUCCAGAUGAUACCUUGCUUGCAGUCUUGUGAGACUGUAAGUAGAGGGACCAUCUAAGCCAUGCCUUCACCUGUAGAAACUGUGAAAUGAUAAAUGGCUAUUGUUUUUAGCUACUAAGUAUGUGUUAAUUUGUUGUGCAGCUAUAGAAAAUGAAUACACUGUGCUGUGCUAACUACCAUAUAGGUCUUCUCUCAGUACCUGAAGUAGCCUCAUGAGCCUGACUCUAAUAUUAUUCCCAUUUUACAGAUGAAGAAACUGAGCCUCAGGAACUGAACUGCAGAAUGUCCUGCUCUCAACCACUGAAAUAUCAUGCUAUGUUUCAUUUUUAAUGUAUUUCAUUAUUUCACAAAUUCAAGUUUAUCAUGGCUUAAAACUUAUCUCCUGAACAUGCCAACUGUAUUUACAAAAAGCCCUACUAGGCACACCUAGUACACAAAAUAAAUGUUUUUAUAAAUGCAACAUUACAAGGAACUUUUCUUUUGUGCUACAUUUUUACCAUGUAUCUCACAGAAAUAAUAUUUGAUUCAUGAAUAGAAAAGUUUCUAUUUUCUGUUAAAGUAGUGAUAGGCUGUAUCACUAAAAUAGUGAUAGACUGUAAACUAUUUAGAAGGGAGAAUAAUUAUGGCUGAUAGAAGCCCCAGAUUUGUGGGAAUUGAUUUGGAGUUGAAACAGUCAAGUAAACAUCCAUUAGAAUGUGCUGGAUCUUACUGCAGGACAAAAACGUUUCAUCUUGGGUCCUAACUUUCCCAUUUAUGUUCAGGUAUAGGGAAACAUUAGGAAGUGGGGAGAUUGAGAAAUACUUAAAAGAAAAACAACAACAACUAAAGUCCUAUUUGGAUCAGUGCUCUGAGAAUCUGAGAUAGGAUUAUGACCCCACUACUGUGUCUUCUAAUGACAGCUCUUUCUAUUCUGCAUUUAUCAGAUGUUAAUUAUUCAUACUGCAUGAUUGAUGAUUUUGGAGUCAGAGAUUCACCUGCAAUAUUUGGAAUACUGGUGGAGGCCUACAUCAACACAGAAUUUAUAAAGCAGCUGGUGCUAGUCAAAGCUAAUGAUGAAAUUUCAGUUUAAUAAAAAGACCCCCAACUGAGCACACCAUCUUGAAAAAAGUAUACUUAUCGAAUGGCUUUCAAUCAGUUCAAGAGAGACACCUUAAUUGGGAAGAGGAAAAUUUGCAGAGCAGUUUGUCAUUGUGCCAAUUCUAGAUCAAUAACUGCAUGUCUGCUCUUUGGGAGACAUAGCUUUUGCUUUAUAUUGAGUAACCACAUUGACUUCCUCUCCACUUGGGUACACUCUGUUUCAUUUGAUAAUGUUAAAGGAUAUCUUCUUUUAAUUCACCUCUGUGUCUUCAUAAUAAACAUGAGCAAAUGUA